rnacentral:lncRNA from 1 species
GCCCAGACACGGAGGCUGUUUCCUCUCCGGGGCCUCCAGGGUUCCCGACUCCUGCCGGACCUGGUGGGGAGACACGAUGGGAAGAGCUGGGGCGAAUGGAGUGAGCCGCUGUGGUGUCGCGGCGGCGCCUACCUAGUGGCUUUCUCGCUUCGCGUGGAGGCACCCACGACCCUCGGUGACAACACAGCAGCGAACAACGUGCGCUUCCGCUGUUCAGACGGCGAGGAACUGCAGGGGCCUGGGCUGAGCUGGGGAGACUUUGGAGACUGG